GGCAGUUCCUCAGGAUAUGAUUGAGGGUGGGGCAACACCAAAAUGGAGUGCCCACCCUUAUUCUUCUUCCCAGGUGAAACAAUUGCUCUAAAUAGCACCAAAACAAGGAACCCUUGUGCGGAGAAGAGCAGAAGAUCCUAUCUACCUAACAAUUCUACCUUGAAUCUACUUGAAAUUACUGCUCUGCAGUCAGGAGUUACUACAAUAUAUUGCUUCUCAAAAGUGAUGACACAUUGGAUAGACAGAUGAUCUAAAUAAAGCUUUUCUUAUUGAGAAUUGUGACAUUGCAUUUUUUUCAAAGAGGUAGAAAAGGAAAAAUCUGACCUGGUAUGUAUAUGGGCUCUUUUUCUUUUGAGCAUGUAAUCUUCAAUGUACUCCUUUAGUGUAACCAUUCCCAUGAUUAAAACAAAACAAACACUAAAUUGA